UACGGGGGGGGCAAGCGUUGUUCGGAAUUACUGGGCGUAAAGGGCUCGUAGGCGGCCAACUAAGUCAGACGUGAAAUCCCUCGGCUUAACCGGGGAACUGCGUCUGAUACUGGAUGGCUUGAGGUUGGGAGAGGGAUGCGGAAUUCCAGGUGUAGCGGUGAAAUGCGUAGAUAUCUGCAGGAACACCCGUGGCGGAAAGCCGGCGCGCUGGACCACUACUGACGCUGAGGAACGAAAGCUAGGGGAGCAAACAGG
rnacentral:rRNA from 1 species